ACCCAGACUACCGUUUGCAACUCCACAUGGGGACAAAUGGGGUUUGCACCUGGAGUCACCUGGAGACUUGAGGUAAUUGUACUGAGAGCAUGUGUUUGGUGAAAAAAACCCAGACUACCGUUUGCAACUCCACAUGGGGACAUGGGGUUUGCACCUGGAGUCACCUGGAGACUUGAGGACUGAGAGGUAUUGGAGGUAGGCGGAGACUUCUCACAGCUGAGCAGGAGACUGCCCUGGAGAAUAUGGUGAUUGCCAAUAAUGCCAUCUGUUUGAGGGAAAUUCAAACCCAAAUAGUUGAAAACCUGGUAGUCUUCCAAGGAAUUGACAGCAUCAGCAUUUCCACCAUUGACCGGAUCGUUCAGAAGAACCAAAUAAGGACAAAGCAGCUGUACUGUGUGCCUUUUGAAAGGAAUUCAAACAGAGUUAAGGAGCAACGAUUCCAGUACGUGCAGGGGCGUGUGAGCAGUCCUGGGAAAAGUGGAGACGGAUCAGGCAAGCAAGGUGCUGAAACGAAAGCUAGCCAUAUGAUAAUGAUGACUAGCUAUCUUAGAUAGCUGGCUAUGGAUUUCCAGUACCAGGCUGGAGAGUGGUGGUGGCCACUGGAGGGCAAGCAAUGUUACUGAGCACACCUAGAAGCUCAUCGGCAUGAAGUUCAUCUAUACCAGCUGAUACAAGUAGCCUAGCUAGCACAGAAUGUUCCUGUAACGUUCCUUAAAGGUUCUUAGAAAAUAACUUUCAGCAGUGGAAAUGGUUAUGAGGGAACAUUUUGUUACGUUAAAGCCUUAUUCUAAAAUGUAUUGAAUCAUUCCACCCCCCCCCCCCCCCCCCUCAAUCUACCCACAAUACCCCAUAAUGACAAAGCAAAAACAGUUUUGUUGAAAUUUGUUUAAAAAAUGUUUUUAAAUGGUUACAAAUAUUAUUUUAUGUGGGAAGGGCACGACAUCUCAUGAUGAUGGCUGCUGGGGAAAAAGGCCAUGUGAGGAUCCAUGUCUGAUUCAGCACACAGUCAAUACCACACAAGCACUCGUGAUCUUAAUAGUACUCACCUGCCCACUAGCCUGCCAGGCACUCACUCUCUGACACCACUGUAGGAACAGAAAAUGACGUUAGUAUUCAAUAGGAGCACUGAGACAAGCAGCCUGCUGACUGGAGGGAAUUGGAGUCCACCGAGUUCCAUCGACUUGUCUGGCCAAGAACCAGUCUGCUAACACUGCUAGCUAGUAGCUACCCCCCUUUCUUUCCCUAAGCACAUUGAAAGGGAACACUAGACCUAGUAGGAAACAUUCUCCCCAACCCAUUUUGAACUCUGUUUCAACAAUCAUCAGCUGAUUCAGAAAAUAAUUUCCCCUUUGACAGUAAAGUGAGCAGCUGAUAACUCUUCAACUCACGUGCUUUUAAAAUGUAUUUAUGUGUCAUACGUUGUCACGGCUCCUCCUCUGCAUUGCAGGGGCAUUUCCUCCUGCAGGCAGAGGAGGGUCGUUAGUGAUUGGAGUCACCUGGGAUCAGAGUAUUUAAACUGUCACUAAUCACCUCUCUCUCCGCUCCUCCAGGUAUGAACCUGUUUUGUUUGUUCCUUUGUAGUUUUGCAUAGUUUUCACUCAGUCAUUCACAGAUUCAUGUAUCCAUGCACUUUACAUACACCCUACAUUAUGAUACUUUCACACCUCAUUCCUUUUUCUUAGUUUAAAGUUAAUAGUUUUGUUUACAAUAAAGAUUUUUUUAAAUUGGCCUA